rfam:Oryza sativa Japonica Group DNA, chromosome 2, cultivar: Nipponbare, complete sequence.
AAAAAGGCAAACCCUGGGUUUCCGUGCCAACGUUUGACUGUCCGUUUUAUAUGAAAUUUUUUUAUAAUUAGUAUUUUUAUUGUUAUUAGAUGAUAAAAAAUGAUUAAUAUUUUAUGCGUGACUUAUCUUUUUAAUUUUUUUAAAUAAAAUGAACGGUUAAACGUUGGACACGGAAAUUAGGAUUUGAACGCAGU